rnacentral:rRNA from 1 species
UGAGGGAAAGGCGAAAAGAACCCCGGCGAGGGGAGUGAAAAAGAACCUGAAACCGUGUACGUACAAGCAGUGGGAGCACAGAGCAAUCUGUGUGACUGCGUACCUUUUGUAUAAUGGGUCAGCGACUUAUAUUCUGUAGCAAGGUUAACCGAAUAGGGGAGCCGAAGGGAAACCGAGUCUUAACUGGGCGUUAAGUUGCAGGGUAUAGACCCGAAACCCGGUGAUCUAGCCAUGGGCAGGUUGAAGGUUGGGUAACACUAACUGGAGGACCGAACCGACUAAUGUUGAAAAAUUAGCGGAUGACUUGUGGCUGGGGGUGAAAGGCCAAUCAAACCGGGAGAUAGCUGGUUCUCCCCGAAAGCUAUUUAGGUAGCGCCUCGUGAAUUCAUCUCCGGGGGUAGAGCACUGUUUCGGCAAGGGGGUCAUCCCGACUUACCAACCCGAUGCAAACUGCGAAUACCGGAGAAUGUUAUCACGGGAGACACACGGCGGGUGCUAACGUCCGUCGUGAAGAGGGAAACAACCCAGACCGCCAGCUAAGGUCCCAAAGUCAUGGUUAAGUGGGAAACGAUGUGGGAAGGCCCAGACAGCCAGGAUGUUGGCUUAGAAGCAGCCAUCAUUUAAAGAAAGCGUAAUAGCUCACUGGUCGAGUCGGCCUGCGCGGAAGAUGUAACGGGGCUAAACCAUGCACCGAAGCUGCGGCAGCGACGCUUAUGCGUUGUUGGGUAGGGGAGCGUUCUGUAAGCCUGUGAAGGUGUACUGUGAGGUAUGCUGGAGGUAUCAGAAGUGCGAAUGCUGACAUAAGUAACGAUAAAGCGGGUGAAAAGCCCGCUCGCCGGAAGACCAAGGGUUCCUGUCCAACGUUAAUCGGGGCAGGGUGAGUCGACCCCUAAGGCGAGGCCGAAAGGCGUAGUCGAUGGGAAACAGGUUAAUAUUCCUGUACUUGGUGUUACUGCGAAGGGGGGACGGAGAAGGCUAUGUUGGCCGGGCG